rnacentral:lncRNA from 1 species
GACAAUGUAACUUCUAAGAAUAAUAAAAGAGUCUGGUUUCUUCUCUCUUAAAUUCUAGGGUUUUCACUCUGAAUUUCUUCUUGCAUAGCUCAAUUUCUCAACCUAACAUGGAAUCAGAGCCAUGGAAUCGAUGAACCUCGAUCUGAUCUUUCGAUCGAUAGUGCCCUCAUCGACUUUCAUGGAGGAUAUCGUCCAGCUUCGUCUGUUUCCACGCAUCAACCGUCAAGUUUUAGAGUUACGGUAUUUAUUCAAUGGUGUUUAUCGUCUAUUGAGAAUUUUAUAGUGUUUUCUUCGGUGUUCUACUGAUAUCUCCAGUGUUUUCUCAAACUUACUGCUUUUGGUUGCCAUUUUUUCCCUUUUUCAAGGCAUUGCCUUCUGUAGGUUGCAAAGAUGAACGGUAAUCUUUCUUUUAUCACUUUUGCGAGUUUUUAGUGAUGUUUGCUUAUAUCAGUAUUCCUAUUUUAGGAUUUUGCAUAUCUAGGGUUUUUUAUGGGUAGUCCAGAAGCUAGUUCCUUCCCUAUGUUAUAUGGUUUUGAUGAUUUCACUAUACCCCCAUCUCACCCAUUCUAUGUACAUCCAUCUGACAGUCCUGAUAUUCGUCUAGUUUUCCCCCUUUCGAUGGGAGUGGUUUUGUCAUUUGGCGUAAAAAUAUGCUCACUGCCCUCUCUGCUAAGAACAUAUUAGAGCUUAUAACUGGUAGAGUUCCCAAACCUGAAUUUAACUCACCUUAUUAUUUAUUUUAGAUAAGGUGCAACGACAUGGUCAUUGAAUGGAUAAUAAAUUACAUAUCUAAAGACAUAGCAAAUAGUGUAAUGUGUUUUGACACUUGCAAGAAUAUUUGGGCUGAUAUAAAUGAAAGGUUUGGGACAUCAAAUAGUUCAAAGUACAUUCAAUCACAAAGGAAAUUAGUGUUGAUUCCCAAGGGUCUUUAGAUAUUGUCACUUAUUUUACAAAAUUCAGGGGACUCUGGGAUGAACUUAACUCUGCUUAUGUAUGGCCAGUGUGUACAUAUGUGGCUUUACCAAAAUUUAUAGAACAACAGAAAAUAUACCAAUUCCUUAGUGACUUAAAUGAGUCAUACUCUAGUUGUAAGAGCAACAUUCUCAUGAUGCCAACGCUUCCAUCAUUGAGUAACUCUUAUUCCAUGCUCCAACAUGAUGAAAAACAGAAGAUAAUUUCAGCUUCUAUUACCAGUUUUUCAGAUGAGUUUGCCUCUUUCAAUGCAUAUAACAGUCCUAUUUGUAGCAACCCCAUGGUAGGAGUUUAACUCUAAGGUUUCAGUUUGAACAAAAGAAAGGAUAUGGUUCCUCCUCUCAAUUGUUCUACAAACAUUGUAAAAAAACUGGCCACACAAUUGAGAAAUGUUAAAAACUCCAUGGGUUUCCUCCUGAUUUCAAGUUCACCAAAUUCAAAAUGUUUGCUUCUUGUGUUCAGUCUGAAGGUCCUAUCCAACACACAUUUUAUACCAAUAGGCAGUCUUUUGAGAACAAUGGUCAUGGAUUCAGUAAAGAAAAAUUUGAGCAUCUUAUGACCCUCUUUAGAGAAUAUUGGUUUUGUUUAUUUUGCAAGUGCGUUUAAUCAUCCUUGAGUCCAUUCUGCUGCAUUUCAUGUAUGUGUAGUGUCACCUCUAGGUUCAAAUCCUUGGAUGCUAGAUUCAGGUGCAACCAACCACAUGACACUUCACAAAUAUCUUCUAUACAACCUAACAUUACUCACCACACCUUUUUUCUAACCAUCCUACCUAAUGGAUACAAAGUAAAAGUUAUAUCUACUGGUUCUCCCCAACUUAGGCCAGAUAUGAUUUUACAUAAUGUUAUGUUAGUUUAUUCUUUCCAUUUCAAUCUAAUAUCCGUUCAUAAACUUUUUGUUUAGUUCAAAUGCAAAUUGCAACUCUUACUAUUUCUGCCUACAUUUUAUAGGGCUUUUCUCCGAGGAGGCCACUGAAAAUUGAUAAAGCUGCAAAUGGAUUAUAUUUCUUGCAUCCAGCUAUGACCUCUUCUACAUUGUCUGCUGGUUCAAUUCCUAUUUAUAUUUCUAGUUCUAUUCAAUGUAAUGUUUCUAAGCCAUCUUUUAGUGUUCUGCCUGAUUCAGCUGUUAAUUAUAACUCUUGUAAUUCCCC